CCCGGGCUCAACCUGGGAACUGCAUUCGAAACUGGCAGGCUUGAGUCUUGUAGAGGGGGGUAGAAUUCCAGGUGUAGCGGUGAAAUGCGUAGAGAUCUGGAGGAAUACCGGUGGCGAAGGCGGCCCCCUGGACAAAGACUGACGCUCAGGUGCGAAAGCGUGGGGAGCAAACAGGAUUAGAUACCCUGGUAGUCCACGCCGUAAACGAUGUCUACUUGGAGGUUGUGCCCUUGAGGCGUGGCUUCCGGAGCUAACGCGUUAAGUAGACCGCCUGGGGAGUACGGCCGCAAGGUUAAAACUCAAAUGAAUUGACGGGGGCCCGCACAAGCGGUGGAGCAUGUGGUUUAAUUCGAUGCAACGCGAAGAACCUUACCUGGUCUUGACAUCCACAGAAGAAUCCAGAGAUGGAUUUGUGCCUUCGGGAACUGUGAGACAGGUGCUGCAUGGCUGUCGUCAGCUCGUGUUGUGAAAUGUUGGGUUAAGUCCCGCAACGAGCGCAACCCUUAUCCUUUGUUGCCAGCGGUUAGGCCGGGAACUCAAAGGAGACUGCCAGUGAUAAACUGGAGGAAGGUGGGGAUGACGUCAAGUCAUCAUGGCCCUUACGACCAGGGCUACACACGUGCUACAAUGGCGCAUACAAAGAGAAGCGACCUCGCGAGAGCAAGCGGACCUCAUAAAGUGCGUCGUAGUCCGGAUUGGAGUCUGCAACUCGACUCCAUGAAGUCGGAAUCGCUAGUAAUCGUGGAUCAGAAUGCCACGGUGAAUACGUUCCCGGGCCUUGUACACACCGCCCGUCACACCAUGGGAGUGGGUUGCAAAAGAAGUAGGUAGCUUAACCUUCGGGAGGGCGCUUACCACUUUGUGAUUCAUGACUGGGGUGAAGUCGUAACAAGGUAACCGUAGGGGAACCUGCGGUUGGAUCACCUCCUUACCUUAAAGAA
rnacentral:rRNA from 1 species